rnacentral:rRNA from 1 species
AUUGAACGCUGGCGGCAGGCCUAACACAUGCAAGUCGAGCGAGCGGCGGACGGGUGAGCAAUGUAUGGGGAUCUGCCUGAUAGAGGGGGCUAACUACUGGAAACGGUGGCUAAUACCGCAUACUAUCGGUUGAACCCAGAGGGGAUUAGCGAGUAGGUGGGGUAAAGGCACACCUAGGCGACGAUCUCUAGCUGGUCUGAGAGGAUGAUCGGCCACACUGGGACGGAGACACGGCCCAGACUCCUACGGGAGGCAGCAGUGGGGAAUAUUGGACAAUGGGCGCAAGCCUGACGCAGCCAUGCCGCGUGUGUGAAGAAGGCCUUAGGGUUGUAAAGUACUUUCAGCGGGGAGGCGUUACCCGCAGAGGAAGCACCGGCUAACUCCGUGCCAGCAGCCGCGGUAAUAC